rfam:Otolemur garnettii contig086147, whole genome shotgun sequence.
GCUGAAUGCGGUGGUGUGCACCUGUAGUCCCAGCUACUCAGGAGGAUGGCUUGAGUCCAGGAGUUCUGGGCUAUAGUAUGCUAUGACAAUCGGGUGUCCGUACUACGUUCAGCAUCAAUAUGCUGGGAGUUAGAGGCCACCAGGUUGCCUAAGGAGGGGUGACCCGGCCCAGGUCGGAAAUGGAGCAGGUCAAAACUCCCGGGCUGAUCAGUAGUGGGAUCACGCCUGUGAAUAGCCACUGCCCUCUAGCCUGGGCAACAAAGUAAGACCCCGUCU